rnacentral:misc_RNA from 1 species
AACGCACCUUGCGCUCCUUGGUAUUCCGAGGAGCAUGCCUGUUUGAGUGUCAUUAAAUUCUCAACCUUUCCAUUUUGUAAUGAAAUGCUGAAAGGCUUGGAUUGUGGAGGUUUGCGGGCUUUUAUAGUCGGCUCCUCUGAAAUGCAUUAGCGGAGACUUGUAGGCUAUCUCCCUUGGUGUGAUAAUUAUCUACGCCUUGGUUGUCUAUAAAAUGCUUUGCUUUCUAAUCGUCUUGCAAAGGACAAUUAUCAAUUCUUGACCUCAAAUCAGGUAGGACUACCCGCUGAACUUAA